AAACCAACAGGGAUUGCCCUAGUAACGGCGAGUGAAGCGGCAACAGCUCAAAUUUGAAAUCUGGCGCUUGCGCCCGAGUUGUAAUUUGCAGAGGAUGCUUUUGGCGCGGUGCCUUCCGAGUUCCCUGGAACGGACCUGAGGGAGACCCUCUUGACCCAACUCGUAAGCUCCUUCACGAGUGAGUAGUUGGGAAUGUGCUCUAAAUGGGAGGUAAAUUUCUUCUAAAGCUAAAUACCGGCCAGAGACCGAUAGCGCACAAGUAGAGUGAUCGAAAGAUGAAAAGCACUUUGAAAAGAGGGUUAAAUAGCACGUGAAAUUGUCAAAGGGGAAGGGUUUAUGACCAGACUUGUGCCUGGCGGAUCAUCCGGUGUUCUCACCGGUGCACUUCGCCUGGUAUAGGCCAGCAUCGGUUUCCGUAGGGGGAUAAAGGCUUUGGGAACGUAGCUCUCUCCGGGGAGUGUUAUAGCCCAUUGUGUAAUACCCUUGUGGG
rnacentral:rRNA from 1 species